rnacentral:lncRNA from 1 species
GGAAGAAACACGGCUUCCACCAAACGGUUCCAUGGCCUGCUUUCUCUCAGAGGUUAAACACAACUCAAAGCAAUGAGAGUGGCAACUAGUACUGGGCACACCAGACUCCUGGGGAGCAGGCUUGCCUCCCAGCAAGAUGAAAACAAGAGGCAGCACCCACCAGCCCUUUGGAGAGCUCCCGGAUGCGGCUUAGCUGCUGUCGGCGGGCAAUCGAAGAGCCUGAGCCAGAAGACUUACUGCCCAGAGAAAACUGCCUCUGUCACCCCAACUCCAACCUGGUAUGUGGGAGGAAUGUGACCGCAAAUGCCAUCCUGCGCUUCUCUGCUCCCUCUUCCCAGCCACCCAAGACGCUGCUUUGUCUCAGGGAGAAGAUAAGAUCUAGUCUCUACUCUCAGUACCAAAGGUUGGUUGGAAGAUGUCCAUAAAUCUCUGGCACUGCGGAUCACCAGAAUGCAAGCAGUCAUGAUCCCCUAGCCACAUGUCACCAAGCUUCCCCUAGGUUUGUGUCUUGCCUCCUCAACCAUCUCCUGUUUAAGACAAGAACCAUGUCUUCUCCGGCAGUGUGUCUCAAAAUUUAAAGUGCACGUGCUUGACCUGGAGACCUUGCAAAAAGGAAGAUUCAGUCGGUCAGGGGUGGGGGCCGGAGUAUUUGCAUUUCUAACCCUCCCCCAGGCGACGCCAAUACUGCUGGUCUGUGGACCACGACUUGAGAGAUGGUGGCAAGACACUCCAUCUCCCACUGUGUCCAGGCAAGAAUGAUCCCACAGCCUCAUUUAAGGCACCUCUGUAUAAUGUAUGCAUUGACCAUUUAUCUUUUAUACAUCUCUACACUUUAAUGCAGUGCAUAAUAUAAUAAAACUUCCAUUAUCUGAUCUUCUCCAAAUUGAUUCCUUCUGGAGUUCAUAUAAUUCUUAAUUCAAUUGUCCUGGGGACUCUCCUUGAGUAAUAGGAAUGCGAAUGUUGCACUGCAGGAUCAGAAUUCUAAGUAACUUUGACAAAUUGGAGAAACGUUAUAUUAUAAAUGAACAGGAUAAGGUCCAACUGGGGAAGUUGCAAGACAGUGCCCUUAGGCAUGACAAAUAAAGGAAGCACCACGAAGAGAAAAAUGGAAGAGACCUGGGCAUGUGGA